GGUCACGACUGCCAGCGCGAAGCCCCGGCUUGCUGGCGGGCAACCCUCCCACGCGGUGGGGUGCUCCGGGUGACGACCAGGCCCACGCCGAGGUGGUGCGGGCAAGCGCGUGCU
rnacentral:ncRNA from 1 species